rnacentral:rRNA from 1 species
UACGUAGGGUGCGAGCGUUGUCCGGAUUUAUUGGGCGUAAAGCGCGCGCAGGCGGUCCUUUAAGUCUGAUGUGAAAGCCCACGGCUCAACCGUGGAGGGUCAUUGGAAACUGGGGGACUUGAGUGCAGGAGAGAAGAGUGGAAUUCCACGUGUAGCGGUGAAAUGCGUAGAGAUCGGGAGGAACACCCGUGGCGAAGGCGGCCAACUGGGAUACACCUGACGCUGGAGGCACGGAAGGCGUGGGGAGCGAACGGG